rnacentral:rRNA from 1 species
CCUACGGGAGGCAGCAGUGGGGAAUAUUGCACAAUGGGCGCAAGCCUGAUGCAGCCAUGCCGCGUGUGUGAAGAAGGCCUUCGGGUUGUAAAGCACUUUCAGCGGGGAGGAAGGCGUUAAGGUUAAUAACCUUGUCGAUUGACGUUACCCGCAGAAGAAGCACCGGCUAACUCCGUGCCAGCAGCCGCGGUAAUACGGAGGGUGCAAGCGUUAAUCGGAAUUACUGGGCGUAAAGCGCACGCAGGCGGUCUGUCAAGUCGGAUGUGAAAUCCCCGGGCUCAACCUGGGAACUGCAUUCGAAACUGGCAGGCUAGAGUCUUGUAGAGGGGGGUAGAAUUCCAGGUGUAGCGGUGAAAUGCGUAGAGAUCUGGAGGAAUACCGGUUGCGAAGGCGGCCCCCUGGACAAAGACUGACGCUCAGGUGCGAAAGCGUGGGGAGCAAACAGGAUUAGAUACCCCUGUAGUC